UUUCGUUCCGUCCACCACCUCCCCUCCGUUGGUUUUACCGUGACGACAGAACCGGGGGGACUCCCUGUGUCAAUCCCUCGCUAGCCCUACCUCGUCUCCCGUCUCCAGUCGCAGCCGCCGCCACACCUGGCGACCCCUGCGCAGCACACCCACGCCACUGGACAGCCCCGCCGCCCAUACCUGCCGUCCCCUGCGCCACCCAUCGCCGCCUCGCCCCGCCUGCCGCCUCCCCUUCACGCCGGCGCGCGCUCGCCUCGCCUGCACCGGGCUACUUGUGAUCUGGACGCCGUCGGUGAUCUGGACCAAAAGCACGAGAAGCAACAAUGGUGAAAAGAGGAGGAAGAUGACGGACGGCGAUGGAAGCUGCAGGCGAUGAGCUAGCAGCGAGGGACACAGAGGACACCAAGCAGACCUUCGGGCCGGAUAGAGACACAUUUAUCAGGAUUGUCUUCGUGUAGCGGGUGAUGGAUAAUGAGGGAUGGGACCUCGGCUUGACGCUCUUCAAGAUUGUCGUUUUAUUUGGGAGCCUGCCCUUCUAUCGCCACCAGGUGCCCGACCUUAAUUCGUGUUCUGCUCCUGUUAAUUUCUCUUGUGAAAUUGCUAUCAGGUAUUUGUGGUUGCUUUUGUAAAGGAAGAUAUCAACCCAAGAUAUCAUGACGGCACACAAGAUCAGCUUAGGAUGCUUGUACCACCAAUUUGAUGGCUUUCAACCAAAUUGUGCUAACUCUGGCGUGAGAACGGUAACAUAUAUGUUUUCCUCUAGGCGUCAUAGCAUUGUGGAUUUGCAUCAUUACUUCAGCAGGCUAGCUGGAUGUGAUCUAGACAUAGGUGAUUUUGAGCCAACACCAGCCUUAAAAGUAUGUCUCUGUUUUCUCUCAUGCUUCUACUAUGAUGCCCCGCAUCAUGUGUUUGUUAAAAUGCUUAACAAAUCUGAAGUAAGUUCAUGCCAGCCACAUGCUUGCUACGAUGCCUCUCAUAGAUCUCUAAUACUAACCUGCAUGCCAAACUUACUCUCGUUAUUAGGCAAGACUAGAUUGGAUGGAUAUAACUAAUCUAAUAUAUUUUCGAAUGUGAUCAUGGAUGCAUUUAAUGUUGAAUAAUAUCUCCUACAUCAUAAUUGAAGGUAAGUAGGUAAUAGUAAUUUUUCAUAUAUUGUUUGUUCUAGGUACUGCACUAAUGUUUCUACAGGAAACAUUUUACCUGACACAUGUUUACAGGUACACGCACUUUAGAAGCCACAAACCAGUCCAACUCAUGUCUGAUGAUUUGGUAGAGCUGUCGUAACCAUGGAACUGGCUUCAUUUAUUGAUAAGAUUAUGUUCAUUGAUCCCAAGACUAUGCUCAUGGGACAAGGAUUAAGGAAGGUCGCCAUGGGAUGAUUUACAAGGAAUUGCCAGUAUUACGUGAGAAGGCCCAAGGCUGGAAUCAACGGUAGCAAGUUAUUGUUUCCCGUGAAGCCUUUUGUUUUUAUUAAUUACAUUAGAUCAUGACUUCUUUCUGGAUCAAUCAUUAUUGGAUGGUAAUUAUAUCUACUAGUUUAGCUUGGAAACAUCUAAAGGUAACAACAAAAAAGCCGUCAGGAAAACACACGAAAUCUGAACUUACACUCAAUUAUAUGCACUCACGCUGAAUUUUCUUCUUUUUGGUUCAGUUUCAUAGCAGUGAAGGGGAGAGCAAGCGACUAACCAACACUAAUGCGUAAAAUGUAAAGAGAAAACCAUGAUGGGGAAGGAUUAACUUUCAUUCAAGAGGUGGCCAUUGAGUUGGGCAGAUGAAGUUGUGGAACAACUUAAGGUUACGGGAUGAACAAGUGCAUGUCCCAGAACUUCAAUGUUGAUUAAUUUUCUUAAGAUGGAGUAGUUCACAUGGUUCUAUUUUGAGAAUUCCGCCACCCCAUUCGCGUGUAGCCCUAGAAUAUUAUCAAGGCAGGAUACAUUGUCCCAACGCACCGAGUCGGCAAGCCCUCAGAUGUGGAACCAGAUUCAUCACACAUGCGGUUCUAUCCAUGGUGGUGCAGUGCGACAGUCUGUACUAUGUUGCAGUUAAUCUUGUGAUAAUGAUAUGCUAUUCAUUUGUUAUUUUCAACAAAUAUUAGAUAUGAUUGUUUUCAUAAUUAUGAACCAAAUUUUGCUUGUACGCAUUCCUCUUAUCUUUGCUUCAACUCUUUUCCUUUUAUUUGUGCUGCAUGGUGUAACCUGAUUUGGUUGAUCAUUGGUGCAUGCACUUGAUUUGGUUUAUCUUCGUGUAGCGUGCAGGGAACCUAAUUCGACUUACAUCUCGUGGGUGAUGUGAAAAAUUAUGUACUCCCUUUACAUGGAGUUGUUAGUUUUGUUGGCCUCCAAUGCUUGACCAUUUGGCUAAAUAUUUAUUUUCUGGCUUAAUUCUAUAGAUAACACCGAUUAUAGUGGAUGAAUGUCCAUAAAAAAAUUGAUCUAUUAUGUGGCACUUUAUGUUUCUUGAUUCUAGACUGGUUCAUAUUAGCACUUGUACUAAAUGAAAAGUGUUCAUGCUCUGAUAUGGAUCUCAUGUUCUGAAUUUAGGUGAAAAGUUUUCUUUCUUAAAUUUUGUCAUUAUUACU